GACGAACGCUGGCGGCGUGCCUAAUACAUGCAAGUCGAACGCUUUGAUUUUCACCGGAGCUUGCUCCACCGAAAAUCAAAGAGUGGCGGACGGGUGAGUAACACGUGGGCAACCUGCCCAACAGAGGGGGAUAACACUUGGAAACAGGUGCUAAUACCGCAUAAUUUGUUUUUCCGCAUGGAAGAAUAAUAAAAGACGCUUCGGUGUCACUGUUGGAUGGGCCCGCGCUGCAUUAGUUAGUUGGUGGGGUAACGGCCUACCAAGACCAUGAUGCAUAGCCGACCUGAGGGGGUGAUCGGCCACACUGGGACUGAGACACGGCCCAGACUCCUACGGGAGGCAGCAGUAGGGAAUCUUCGGCAAUGGACGAAAGUCUGACCGAGCAACGCCGCGUGAGUGAAGAAGGUUUUCGGAUCGUAAAACUCUGUUGUUAGAGAAGAACAAGUGAGAGAGUUACUGUUCUCACCUUGACGGUAUCUAACCAGAAAGCCACGGCUAACUACGUGCCAGCAGCCGCGGUAAUACGUAGGUGGCAAGCGUUGUCCGGAUUUAUUGGGCGUAAAGCGAGCGCAGGCGGUUUCUUAAGUCUGAUGUGAAAGCCCUCGGCUCAACCGAGGAAGGUCAUUGGAAACUGGGGAACUUGAGUGCAGAAGAGGAGAGUGGAAUUCCAUGUGUAGCGGUGAAAUGCGUAGAUAUAUGGAGGAACACCAGUGGCGAAGGCGACUCUCUGGUCUGUAACUGACGCUGAGGCUCGAAAGCGUGGGGAGCAAACAGG
rnacentral:rRNA from 1 species